GCUCGAACAUACCCAUGCUGAGAUACAAAAAAACAAAAGACUCAAGCCCCCUUUAGGGGGCAGGGGAUUCGUCAGCCUCGAUGCAAUCGAAGAGGACAAUGACGGCCAGGGUUGGAGCUGGCACCGCCUCUUUGACCGCCCGAUCUUUUUGCUCCAGACUGAAGAGGUCUUCAACUCAUAAGCCCUCAUCUCCGACCUCACUAACUUCUUCCUCACCGUCUGACUCCAGG
rnacentral:lncRNA from 1 species